GGCUCGUUGGUCUAGGGGUAUGAUUCCUGCUUCGGGUGCAGGAGGUCCCGGGUUCGAAUCCCGGACGAGCCC
rnacentral:tRNA from 1 species